rnacentral:rRNA from 1 species
UACGGGGGGGGCAAGCGUUGUUCGGAAUUACUGGGCGUAAAGCGCGCGUAGGCGGCUUUGCAAGUCGGGUGUGAAAUCCCCAGGCUUAACCUGGGAACUGCAUUCGAGACUGCAUUGCUAGAGUAUGGGAGAGGGAAGUGGAAUUUCCGGUGUAGCGGUGAAAUGCGUAGAUAUCGGAAGGAACAUCAGUGGCGAAAGCGGCUCUCUGGACAGGUACUGACGGCUGAGACGCGAA